UACGUAGGGUGCAAGCGUUGUCCGGAAUUAUUGGGCGUAAAGAGCUCGUAGGCGGUCAGUCGCGUCUGCUGUGAAAACUCGAGGCUCAACCUCGGGCUUGCAGUGGGUACGGGCUGACUAGAGUGCGGUAGGGGUGACUGGAAUUCCUGGUGUAGCGGUGGAAUGCGCAGAUAUCAGGAGGAACACCGAUGGCGAAGGCAGGUCACUGGGCCGCAACUGACGCUGAGGAGCGAAAGCAUGGGGAGCGAACAGG
rnacentral:rRNA from 1 species